AGUGAACGCUGGCGAUAGGCCUAACACAUGCAAGUCGAACGGCAGCACAGUAAGAGCUUGCUCUUACGGGUGGCGAGUGGCGGACGGGUGAGGAAUACAUCGGAAUCUACUUUUUCGUGGGGGAUAACGUAGGGAAACUUACGCUAAUACCGCAUACGACCUACGGGUGAAAGCAGGGGAUCUUCGGACCUUGCGCGAUUGAAUGAGCCGAUGUCGGAUUAGCUAGUUGGCGGGGUAAAGGCCCACCAAGGCGACGAUCCGUAGCUGGUCUGAGAGGAUGAUCGGCCACACUGGAACUGAGACACGGUCCAGACUCCUACGGGAGGCAGCGGUGGGGAAUAUUGGACAAGGGGCGCAAGCCUGAUCCAGCCAUACCGCGUGGGUGAAGAAGGCCUUCGGGUUGUAAAGCCCUUUGUUGGGAAAGAAAAGCAGCAGGUUAAUACCCCGCUGUUCUGACGGUACCCAAAGAAUAAGCACCGGCUAACUUCGUG
rnacentral:rRNA from 1 species